GUCACAGUUGCCAAGUGGUUAAGGCGUUGGACUAGAAAUCCAAUGGCGGUUCCCCACACAGGUUCGAAUCCUGUCCGUGACG
rfam:Apaloderma vittatum contig3317, whole genome shotgun sequence.